rnacentral:rRNA from 1 species
UACAGAGGGGGCAAGCGUUGUUCGGAAUUACUGGGCGUAAAGGGCGCGUAGGCGGCCUGCUAAGUCGAACGUGAAAUCCCUGGGCUCAACCCAGGAACUGCGUCCGAUACUGGUUGGCUUGAAUCCGGGAGAGGGAUGUGGAAUUCCAGGUGUAGCGGUGAAAUGCGUAGAUAUCAGGAGGAACACCAAUGGCGAAGGCAGCUCGCUGGGACGGUAUUGACGCUGAGACGCGAAAGCGUGGGGAGCAAACAGG